AGUGAACGCUGGCGGUAGGCCUAACACAUGCAAGUCGAACGGCAUCACAUUAAGAGCUUGCUCUUACGGGUGGCGAGUGUCGGACGGGUGAGGAAUACAUCGGAAUCUACUUUUUCGUGGGGUAUAACGUAGGGAAACUUACGCUAAUACCGCAUACGACCUACGGGUGAAAGCAGGGGAUCUUCGGACCUUGCGCGAUUGAAUGAGCCGAUGUCGGAUUAGCUAGUUGGCGGGGUAAAGUCCCACCAAGGCGACGAUCCGUAGCUGGUCUGAGAGGAUGAUCAGCCACACUGGAACUGAGACACGGUCCAGACUCCUACGGGAGGCAGCAGGGGGGAAUAUUGGACAAUGGGCGCAAGCCUGAUCCAGCCAUACCGCGUGGGUGAAGAAGGCCUUCGGGUUGUAAAGCCCUUUUGUUGGGAAAGAAAAGCAGCAGGUUAAGACCCCGCUGUUCUGACGGUACCCAAAGAAUAAGCACCGGCUAACUUCGUG
rnacentral:rRNA from 1 species